GUCCACGCCGUAAACGAUGACAACUUGACGAUGGGAAGGUUACUUUCGUUGUCGGAGCUAACGCAUUAAGUUGUCCGCCUGGGAGUACGGCCGCAAGGCUGAAACUCAAAGGAAUUGACGGGACCCGCACAAGCGGUGGAGCAUGUGGUUUAAUUCGAUGCAACGCGAAAACCUUACCUGGUCUUGACAUCUACAGAACUAUCCAGAGAUGGAUGGGUGCCUUCGGGAACUGUAAGACAGGUGCUGCAUGGCUGUCGU
rnacentral:rRNA from 1 species